AGGAGACGUGCUGGGACCCUAUAGGGUUUGUCUUUUUCAGUGUAUUAAAACAUAACCCAGCCUCUGCAGGAUGACAUGACAGUGUCACCUGCCUGACCCAGCACCAACAGGGUGGCAGGCACUCCCAGCAUCUCUUCUAGCCUACAGCCUUCUCCUAGGGCCACGUCUUCCUGGCUGAGUAUUGCCAAGGGUAGUCCUCCAGCAGGGUACUUGGGCUGUCUCCUGGACUUCUGGGCCAGCUGGGACAAGUUCCUGCUGGACUUCAGAUAUAGACUGGUCCUGUAGCAGCUAAAGUGGGACUCCAGUUUCUAAGUCUAAAACUCACUAGAAUGUGCAGUUUAAGUGUCCAGGGUGUCAUGAUGAAGAAAGCGUGGGGGUUUUUUUCAAAAUGUAGGAAAAAUCCAUCCCUCUUGCUUGGCUGUGUGAUUUUUAGUCCUAGUGCUGCUGUACGGGAGCUGGAGACUCCAAUGCAGAAUGAAGGCCCUGUGUGCCAGGUGGAAGAUAAGAGCUAAUCCCUACUUUGAAAAAAGCAUCAUCUACAUAAGCAAGACUGAUGCAGCCAAGUCCCAUCCCAUUUUCUGAGCGCAGAUCUAAGCACACAGCUUAACUGAUUUCCCUGCUGGCACAUCCCAAGCUUCUGUUCCCCCAGGAUGCCAUAAUACCCCAAUCAGCUGUUCUCCUACGUUAAAGAGAUGGAUUUAACCCAAAAAGGUUGGCUGGAUCCUGAAAACCAAUCAUGCAGCCCACCGUUCCUCAGUAGCCCAAGGGGAGAACAAGUCGUCUGCUGCCAAAUAUUUAUUGAUGGGAAUACAAGGGCAUUGUUUCUGCUGGGGGGGAUUGUGCCUAAGCCUUUAAUCGUGCUGUGAGUAUGGAAUGUUACAUCUCAGCGGAAAAAAAUCACAGGCUUGAUCUUGGCCAAGAGCUGGAGAAGCCAAGAGCCAGGAUUGUCCACCUAUGCUUUUCUAUCAGGGAGCAGAGAACACCCCACCCUGGGAGCAGCCUGCACCCGACCCCACGUUUUCUUGCCCAGCAAAUCGUCAGGUUUACACCAGCCCCCUCAUUUACUGCACCAUCCCUGCAGAACUCUGUGCACAUGACAAUUUGAUAACUCACUCUAUUAAAUGUCUCCACUGCUGCAAAGAAGGUACAAUCUUUCAUUACACGUCCCCUUGAGUAGUAGGGUGCUUGGCCCUGACCCUCAGGGCUGACUUCAUGGCCUUGAUCCUUCUCCAAACCAGCUCUGCUCCAGGCUUUGUCAAAAGCCCACUCAGACAAGGACCUGCCCAACGAGAGGGAGGAUGGGACCCCUUGUUUAUGGAGAUGCUCAUCUGGUUGGCUCAUCAGUUUCUUGAUUGGGGAAACUAUUUUUACUCAUCAUGAAUGACUAAGCAUGUUGUUUUGGGGGCUGGUGGCUUUUUCUUUUUCCGGUCUUUCUUGGAUUUAUUUAUUUUUAGGUUCCUUUGGGAGGGAAAAGAAGCGGAGUGCAGACUGAAAGCUUGAGAGGACAGGAAACAGAGAUCAAGGGAGCAUGGGGAGAUGGGAUUUACCCCUCCAAGCCUCAGGCCACCUUACUGCUGGUGCUUAUGGGGCUUAGCAACCCAUUGAGGAAUUUUAUAGAGGGAAUAGGAAAGAGCAUUCAGGAGGCUGUAGGCUUUCUCCUUCGUAAAAAAAGCAGGGGUAGGUCCUGCUAAUGGUUUUCCAGAGAGCUCGAGUAGGAUUUGAGACAGAAGACUUUCUCACGGGUCUUACAGUGCUUGAUUAUGCUACAGCCCAGAUGUCUCUAACACGAUUAUAAGAGAAUUGCUUUGGGGCAGGAAGUAUCUUUCUGUUCCGUUUGUCCCAUGCUUAGCACAAGGGGAUGUGGGCCUUGAUGCCACAGUAAUACUGGCAAGUAUUCAUACUCACCCCAGCUUUUAUUUGAAAGGAAAGUGGUCCUAGACCUUAUGGUUGAGGGGUUGCACACAUGACCUUUGAAGACCCCCAGAAAAUAGGAGUGUUAAAAUAAUGCAGAAUAUUGAGGGGGUUUAUUCCUUGUGUCUUUAUUUUUUUAAACCAGUUCCCUAAUUUUGAAGGGUCGCAGGAAUAGUUUUUGAACCAGUGAUGCUGCAUAUAUGCUGUUGUGGUCCAUGGUAAUCAACCUCUCAGCGCUCACACUUAGCAUCGAGAAAGACAAUGAAUUAGCAACCCAGUCCCAAAGGUGCUCUGGAAACUGUGGGGUUGACCUGAUAUCUGGAGAAGAGAAAAAGCAGACAUCCAACCUCCCUGGCCUUUCAGCCCCAUUCACACCAGGGAACGUGCCCGCCUCAGUUGAUCCCACGUACCCCUAGACCACCCUGCUGCCUCCUCUUGCCCACUCCAGACCCCCUCUUUGGUGUUUUCCUCUGCUCCCUCUCCAUCCCUGCCUGAUGUUAAGGAGCACCCCUACGUACACAUCUUUCCCCAGACAAAUGUGGAGCAGGCUCCUCAGUAGCUCCUAUGGCAGGCAGCAAUCUGCAUCCAAGAGGUUUCAUUCCUCCUCCUGAGCCUGCAGGAAGGAUGCUCUACACAGCUGUGGGUUGCCCGGGUUUGUCCAAGCCCUCCAGAAGAGUUGACAACAGCUGGCCACAGCUCUGCUUCUCUUGCAAACUUCUUAAUCCUAUGGGAACAUCUCUCCUCCUUCUGCUUUUUAGCGGCUUCUUGGAGAGAGACCUGGGUCUUGUCACAAGCAGCCGUAGCACUAAUAAAAACCUCUUUACUUUGGCAGGACCCAACACAUUCCAGCAGCGAUAAAUCGCAAACCAGAGGGCAAUUUGUCCUGUUUUAACCUGUGCAGGUGCCUUGAGAGGGAUUAAACCAGCCUCAUGGAAACUGGCUCCCCCUCCAGCCUGGGAGCACUGUGGGCGCACAAGAAGUCCCCUCGCAUCACAUCAACCCACGGAGAUGAACACGGGGUGGGUGCUCCUACACAGGAGCCAAACCUGCCUGUGAGCAGCCGAGUGAAUUACCAUCCUGAUUUCUUAGCUCAGCACUUUGUGGGUAUGCUUAAGGCAUUUCCAGAGGAUUUCCCUUCCCUUGCAGGUACUGCUCGCAUGAGCUGUCAUUUUACCCAGCCUGUUCCAGUACUCUGGGAUUUCUCUGCUCCCCUUCCCCAGCACCCCAGCUGAACUGGCUGCUGUCUCAAGGCUACCUGUGCCAGGCCAGGCUCUGCUGCCUGCGAGGUGACACAACAUAUCCUUAGGUCUUUACCCUCCCGGUGCCAUGGUGUGUCCUCCCAAAUGACCUGCACACUGUCCCUGCACAGCACCAGGUGCUCUCCGGCAUUGCGUCCCCGGGGGAAUGCUACUGCAGCACUCCAGAGUCAGGUUUCCACACAGCAUGCAGGGCAGUUGGCAAGGGCAGGCAGCAAGUGUUUUCCCGAUCCUGUGCCAAGCCUGGGCACAGCCAGGUCCUCCCUGGCUUGUCCAUCCUUCAUGACAUCCCCCCCUCCCUCCCCUGAAGCAGCCGCAUGCCCUGCGUCCUGCUGCUGGGGUGCUCCCGCCCCUGCCCACACUGGGAUUUGCUCAGUGCCAGCAGGAUUUAUCUCUCUGCACACAGGAUUUAUCCCCUUUCCAUCCAUCCUCCAUGACCGGAGCACUUUUUUCCCCAUGGCUCUGCAUUGCCACCACCUCCCCUCACCAUGCUGUCCCCAUUGUCCCCACAUGCCCCUGCCACGCUUGCUUUAGGUUUUCACCAAGGCCCAUGGGAGCAAACCAGGCUGCAGCAAGUCCCCACUGCAAAGGUCUCUGUGGGUGAUGCUGGGAACAGUUGAGCCGAGCAUCCCCUCCGGAUGGCUGAGGAAGCCGCUCGGCCAGGGCCCAGGAGAUGCCCUUCUCCAGCGGGGCGCUACCAGGAUGCUCCAAGCAGGAGGUGACGUCCCCGUGGGGAGGACACGAGGAGAAGCGCUGAGACACGGAGGAGCUCUCUUGCGUGGAGCACGUUCGUGGGGGAGCGAGGGGGCUGCAGAUUGACCUUCCCAGCCCCUAACUUCCCCCCUGCCCAGCCCUAGCCCAUGGGUGCCCCCCCUCCUCUCCUCCCCUCCUCCCGCAACUCCAGCACCGAGGAAGCCGAGCCGGAGGCAGUGCUGAGCCGGAUAUGCAGCGACUCCCCGCAUCCCUCCUUGGCAGAGCGCGGUGACGCCGCGGCAGCCACCACGGAGAGGACACAGGACCCCCCCCUGGGCCCCCCGUGCCCCUUCGAGGGGGUGGCCUGGACCCCGAGACCCCCGCAGGGCCCCCCGCAGGGCUGCUUCGCCUGCAUCGCCAAGCCCCCGGCUCUCCGGCAAGCUUCACCCGUCCUGUCUCCUUCUUCCGCUGUUUAUCUCAUGGAGAGCAAGAGCUGCAAAGGGGACAGCCUGCGGCCGGCGGUCCCAUGCAAGCACUCGGUGGAGAAGAAGACAAUGACCAACCCCACCACUGUCAUUGAAAUCUACCCCGACACCACAGAGGUGAAUGACUACUAUCUCUGGUCCAUCUUCAACUUCGUAUACCUCAACUUCUGCUGCCUCGGCUUCAUCGCCUUGGCCUAUUCAUUGAAAGUCCGGGAUAAGAAACUCCUCAAUGACUUAAAUGGAGCAGUCGAAGAUGCCAAGACAGCCCGGCUUUUUAACAUCACCAGCUCAGCCCUUGCCACCUUCUGUAUCAUCCUUAUCUUCAUCUUCCUGCGAUACCCCCUCACUGACUACUAGAGUGAGGCCAACAGCAGCGGCUGCCGCCAAAAUGCCUCUAUGCCAGAAGUGUCUGCAGUUGUUUCUUGUAGCAAGGACGCAAAAAAAACCAACAAACAAACAACACUCCACCUUGAUUGCAAAAAAAAAAAAAAAGCCAAUUAAACACAUAAAUAAAAAUUAAAUGAGUUGAUCAGCCCAGCUGAGCAUACCCUUCCUGCCCCCAAAACAGUUUGUGAACUGCUGUGGGAAAGGGUCUUACUCUUACAUGCGUACAGGGAGGAAAAUAGACCAAGAAAUAUUUAUUUUAUGGCCAACAAGCCGUGUGGCAAGAGCAUGCAAAGUCGGGAGCGACGCAUGCCUGGUGGCAGAAAGCUGAGCUCUGGGGAGCAGCGGGGUCCUGCUGAGCAGGAGGUGCGUGCGGUGAUGGAUGGUGUCCGUGGCAGGGCUGGCUCACAACAUAUCAGAUGUGUUCAGACCGCCCCAUCACCCCCAAUGUACCGGGCGUUCUUUUCCUUUUCCUCUCUUGAGUUUCAUCCAGUGGUUCAAACAACUCCCAACCCCGGGAGAGCUGAGGGUGUUAGGAAGUUCGUGCUAGGGAGCCCCAAAGCUCCAGAGAAACCCCCAAGGGUUAAAGGGCAGGUUUCUCCUUCGGAUCUCCGGGCAAUGCUGAGAAGGAAGGCACCUUCUGAAGAACUCACUUAAGCCCCCUAAACCGAGUGCUACUGUACUUCUGUAAACAGUCAAUAAAGAUACCUCUGAUAUCUGAUGCUGCUGGGUUAAUUCCUUCCUUAGGAGGGCCGGGCUCCUGAUCCCUACAGGCUGGCAAGAGAAAAUGCUAAUGUCACCAGUGGCUGCUUGUGAGAGAUUGAAAGUAGGUGUGAGGGAUGCUGCUGCAGGUCAGGGACGCACACAGCCAUAAAAGAGGGCGCAGAUCCGGAUUUAAGAUCAGAGACCUCAGCGACUCCCGCGAUGGUCGAUCAAUCGCAAGCAAGCAAACGCAGCCAAGCGGGCAGGUCCCCCCUCCCCUGCUAGGACCAACGUCGAAGACAGAAAUAAAUCACUGCGGUAUGAACCUGCAGCACUCCCCAGGGUUGUUACUGGGCGCCAGAUUUCGGAGACACAACACGUUUGUCGCUGAAUGAGGCAGGAGCUCGGAGCUCUUCCCGCGAGCUGCCUGCGGCUGCCUGCAGUGCUGCAAAUCAACAUGCCCUGCCUUGAAAAUACCACAAAUAAAUGGCAAGACCAGGACUAAAAUACAGCUUUUCAGCCCCUCUGAUGCUUCGUCUUAUCUCAUAUGCUGCAGAUGCCUCAUCUUUUUCCAGUUGUAAGAUGGCUUCGCAUCAAGGGAGACGGGUCGCUGCAGACCAGCCAUGGAGCCAGGAGGAGGCGACAGCGUCCAUCUCUGUCCACACCACAACAGCGAUGGUGCAGGAAGAGAUGGGGAAUGCAGACAGGUUGUCAUGGGACACUUCAUCCUCUGCUGACUGUGUCGUUAAACCAACAUGCUGUCUCUGGGCUCUGCUCAGUGAGGGCUGUGCCAUAGUGGACCAUGGGGACACACCACGAGGAUGCUUCCCUGAAAGUCUUGUGAGAUGUCACCUCCUUCCUACCGAGGUCUCCACACCUUAACCCCAGCCUAGGUUUCAUUUAUGGAGGAAGCUACAGGCAGAAGGACCUGCAGUCCUACCUGCUCCCCACUCACUGAAGGGCAUUUCCAUACCAGACCAGAUCAGGGGUCUGUUUUGCACUGAAGUUUCCACCAGCACUGCAGUACGUGGUGCUCUGGGAAAUAUCUCGGACAUGAACUGUUCUGUGAUCACUCAUCCAGAGGUUAAGACUCUUCCCAACCUCUUGUGGUUAAUUCUUGCUCCCUUCCCCGAAGCAAGAUCUGAGGGGUCAUAGCCAUUGACAUUUCCAUCCUAACAUAUCUAGGGGCUGUAUCCAGUCCUUGUCCCUGGCAGAGGAAGGAGGUGGCCUGUCACGAUGGAAAUGCCUCCAAGGAGGGUGCAGCCAAAAUGACUUGCAGCCACCCUGAACUGGCACCUGAUAAUUGGAGCAAAUUAAAGCCUGCUGGGAUGAUGCUAGUUUAGGCAAGACCUGGACUAGUCACCCCAAAAUGCUCCGAGGGUUAGGAGGAGCACAGAGGAGGUGUGAACGCCGAUAUUGCUGUGCUGCAGCAGGUCGGAGGUCCACCCAGACCUGCCUUGGACAAGAACAGAGUAGCGGAGGAAGAUGUGGUCACCCCAUGGCUGGAGGAUGGGAUGGCUGACCCCAGGCAGAUGCUCAGCUCCACCACAGGCAUCGCCUCGGCUCCACCGGCGGCUCUGGGCUGGGAGCAGCAAAGCCCCUGCACUCUCCCCUCCUCUCUCUUAGUGCCCCUACGUCCAUUUUAAUGGAGCCCCUCCAAACUCACGGCGGUAGGAAAACACCCCCCAAAUGGGGAAAAUGAUUGGUGGGGGACACAUAGAUUUCCAAGCUUGAUUAGGAAAAAAAAUAGCCAUUUAUUCAUGCAGAGGUCUUCCAAGUGUGUCAGCAUUCAUUUCAUCUUGCCAGUGUCAGGGAACUCCAAACUGCGUUGGUAAAACUGCGUCCCCACAUACCGGCAGGCAGGUACAUCCCAGAUUGCUCUGAUUCUGCUCUUAAGUGAACGAAAGAAGUUCUUUUCAUUUUGAGGGAACAAGGGAAAGAAAAGCAGCAGCCAAAUCUGACAGGUCCUCUAAUUGCGUUUUUGGUUUUUUUUUUUUUAAUUUUGCAAGAAAAUUCUGGAAGCUCAGGUUUUGCCAAGGCUGACACCCGAUGCAGCAGAAGGCAGGCUUUCGAGGGUUGCUUCUCUGCCUUUUCACUUCUGCCAUUCGCAACGUUGCACCACGCUCUCCAAAUCGCACCUUUUUUUGGCUGCGAAGCCACAGCCUCUGUUGCACUCGGCGGCGGAUAAGGAAAACCGAGA